rnacentral:rRNA from 1 species
UCAUCUUCGGGGGUAGAGCACUGUUUCGGCUAGGGGGUCAUCCCGACUUACCAACCCGAUGCAAACUGCGAAUACCGAAGAAUGUUAUCACGGGAGACACACGGCGGGUGCUAACGUCCGUCGUGAAGAGGGAAACAACCCAGACCGCCAGCUAAGGUCCCAAAGUCAUGGUUAAGUGGGAAACGAUGUGGGAAGGCACAGACAGCCAGGAUGUUGGCUUAGAAGCAGCCAUCAUUUAAAGAAAGCGUAAUAGCUCACUGGUCGAGUCGGCCUGCGCGGAAGAUGUAACGGGGCUAAACCAUGCACCGAAGCUGCGGCAGCGACACUAUGUGUUGUUGGGUAGGGGAGCGUUCUGUAAGCCGUUGAAGGUGUGCUGUGAGGCAUGCUGGAGGUAUCAGAAGUGCGAAUGCUGACAUAAGUAACGAUAAUGCGGGUGAAAAACCCGCACGCCGGAAGACCAAGGGUUCCUGUCCAACGUUAAUCGGGGCAGGGUGAGUCGACCCCUAAGGCGAGGCCGAAAGGCGUAGUCGAUGGGAAACAGGUUAAUAUUCCUGUACUUGGUGUUACUGCGAAGGGGGGACGGAGAAGGCUAUGUUAGCCGGGCGACGGUUGUCCCGGUUUAAGCAUGUAGGCGGAGGUUCCAGGUAAAUCCGGUACCUUUUUAACGCUGAGGUGUGAUGACGAGGCACUACGGUGCUGAAGUAACAAAUGCCCUGCUUCCAGGAAAAGCCUCUAAGCAUCAGGUAACACGAAAUCGUACCCCAAACCGACACAGGUGGUCAGGUAGAGAAUACCAAGGCGCUUGAGAGAACUCGGGUGAAGGAACUAGGCAAAAUGGUGCCGUAACUUCGGGAGAAGGCACGCUGAUAUGUAGGUGAAG